rnacentral:misc_RNA from 1 species
GAUGAAGAACGCAGCGAAAUGCGAUAUGUAGUGUGAAUUGCAGAAUUCAGUGAAUCAUCGGAUCUUUGAACGCACAUUGCGCCCCAUGGUAUUCCGUGGGGCAUGCCUGUUCGAGCGUCAUUUACCCCCUCAAGCUCCGCUUGGUGUUGGGCGUCUGUCCCGCUUCGCGCGCGGACUCGCCCCAAAGGUAUUGGCAGCGGUCAUGCCAGCUUCUCGCGCAGCACAUUGCGCUUCUCGAGGCACCGGCGGGCCCGCGUCCAUCAAGCUCACCCCCCCAGUUUGACCUCGGAUCAGGUAGGGAUACCCGCUGAACUUAAGCAUAUCAAUAAGCGGAGGA